rnacentral:lncRNA from 1 species
GCAUCAUGGAGGCUCAUGGUCUGGUCCAGGUCUCACAGCUAAUAUGAGGCAAAGGUCUCAGAGCAGUGCCUAGCACGGGAAGCACCCCUAUGAACAUUUAGGAGAUGUGGGCAGUGGUUAAGAACGUCUGGGUAUCAGCUUUCCUUCAAGUUCCAGUGUGGACUGAAGACCAAAGCCUCUAGGAAUCUCCUGACUGAAACUGAUGAGAAAAGAAGUCUAACCCGGAGUAUCAGCACCUACAGUGAAGCAGAUGAGGAGCAAAGAGGAAGUCUUGAGAGGAUUUCAAGCUGGUUAAAAUGACCAGAGCAGAGAGGAUUGUUUUGGCUUAAGAAGACAAAAGGCACACCCUGAUUCGUUCUCUCCCAUCCAGUCCAUCAGCACAAACCCUUGUUAUGC